CAUCCGGCCCGCGGCCCUCUUCUCUCCCGUGCUCUGGGUGCGGUGUCGUGCCUCCUCACCGCUUCGCAGCUGUGGCGAUUCUUCGAGCCGCAGCGGCUCCGAUUUCGCAGCCUCCUCUGCUGCCACCGUCGCGCUGCCGACAGUCCAUGGCCCAGCGUGCUCCUGCCACGGACGUGGAUCCGGAUCGUCCCUCCCUGUAGGAAACAAGGUUGUAGAAACUGGAGCCCACCAGGCAGAAGGCAGGAGCCAACUCAGAAGUGGAUGUCAGUCCAUGACAGGGCGCAGUUAUGUGCACCACCACAUUGACAAUAUUUUCAAGUUUUUCAAGUAACCAAGCAAGCUGGGUUGGAUUACAUCUGGGCAAGCUACAUGGAUUACAUCUCAUCCAGGAUUUGAACUUGCAACUCUGGAACUGUGAGCCAGAAGCUUUAACCACCAUGCCUAAAUCACCUAAAUGAAUGUAUCUAUUACUGGAUUAAAAGGUUUCUUGGACUCUAUUCUUCUGACUCAAGAAUGAUAGAUAAAACCUACCUGAGUGUAAUGCCCAACAACUUUACCAUAUUGCGGGUUUUGUCCAAACACAUAAUCUUUUUUUUCAUUUUCCCAUGCCUGAAUUGCACUUUCCCAUGGUCUAUCAUUUGAAGACAUGUACAAAUUUUCUCCACAGUUGCCCCCUAAGUGAAGAAGAAACAGGAUUAGACAGGAAGAGAAGAAAAACUGUCAGGCUGAAGAGCAUGCCAACUGCCUGCUGUACCACGUAUGACCUCACUUCCGGUUUCUGCUCUCCCAGACCUGUCCCUUCCUGUUUACCCUCCAUAUAAAACAGCACCCAACUUCCGUACUUCAGUUCUGUAAAGACAGGCUUUAUUUCAUUGCCUAAAAUUCAGGGUUACGAAGGUGGUAACCCCAAACUUUUUUCUGUGUUUUGUCUUUGUUAUUUAUAAUAUAGAACACUUUAUUUGU